UACGUAGGUGGCAAGCGUUGUCCGGAUUUACUGGGCGUAAAGAGCGCGCGGGCGGUCGUUCAAGUCGCGUGUGAAAGCCCCCGGCUCAACUGGGGAGGGUCACGCGAUACUGAUCGACUCGAAGGCAGGAGAGGGUAGUGGAAUUCCCGGUGUAGUGGUGAAAUGCGUAGAUAUCGGGAGGAACACCAGUGGCGAAGGCGACUACCUGGCCUGUUCUUGACGCUGAGGCGCGAAAGCUAGGGAGCAA
rnacentral:rRNA from 1 species